AGAGUGUUCAACAAUGAAGUGUUUUUCAGAGGUGAUUUUGUUCUUGAAUACAGAGGUGAACUGAGUUCAGAGGAGUGUCUUGAUCGGACUAAAGAGCUCAUGUUCUUGUUUGAUUUUCGGUGGCGUGGCAAAUAUUGGUGCAGAAUACAAAGGAAACAUGAAAAUAAUCAGGAGGAAAAUAAUGUGUUCUUUAGCAUGGAUGCAUCUAAAGAAGACAGAUCUUUGGGAAGGACUAGCCAGCAGUUUUGGUCAGCAGAAAUGGUCCCAUCAUGCUGCUGCUGUUUCCUCGCCUGACUUGGACAUGAAGAACAUCAAUGCAAGAACAUCAGGAAAUAAAACGGGAGAGGUGUGUUUGCACUGGAACACAUUGAACCAUCCACCUUUGUUGUUGAAUACCGUGGGAUUCUCUCUCAAAGUAAACAUGUUGAAGACAUUCAAAGCAAACUACUUGUUUGAAUUCACAUGGAAUGGGACACGUUACUGCCUAGAUGCUUCAAAAGAGGAUGGAUCACUUGGACGACUGGUGAAUGAUGAUCACAGAAAUCCAAACUGCAAAGUGAAGACAAUAAUUCUUGAAGGAAGGCCACACCUAUGCCUAUUUAGUAUAAGGGAUUUCUUUCCAGAUGAGGAGAUUACCUACAACUACGGUGAUUUCUCUUGGCCAUGGCGGUCACGGGAAUUAUGUGAAGACACAUCUGUGGCAGUGAGCGAAUGCAGUGUGAAUUCUUCCACAUCGGGGAAAGAGAAAGAAUUAUGUAAGAAGACAUCGUUGGCAGUGACCGAAUGCAGUGUAAAUACUUCCACAUCGGGGAAAGAGAAAGUGACUCCUGAGAAGGACUAAUUAUCAUUGGAGGAUCAAGACAGUGUUGAGAAGGAUAUGAUGAAGAUCUCACCUGUCAAAGAGCAUGUUUUAAUUUGGGAGCAGAGCUUUUGUGCCCCCACUGAAGCAAUCAAGGAGCUGUUAAGAAGAUGCCCAUUGAGAACCUCUGUUCUUCAAGCCAAAGGAAAACUGGCGGCCAGUGACUGAGUGCCAGCAAUGUAAAACUGAUGACGAUCCUGGUUUGGUAAGACGCAGCACUCAAAACAUAACAGACUUUGUGAGAAACUGGGGAAUUAUCUUGAAAAGAAAAACCCAAAAUAUGUGACAACAUCCUGUUCUCAUUUGUUCUGUUCUGUUAAGAUUUGGUUGUUGUUUUAGGUAUUUUUUUUUAUUGUGCAGUACUUAAUCAC